AACACUUGGAUAAGCUAACAGCAGCAUGAAUCAAUUUCGACAACCGAGAUGCUCAGUGGUCGGCUGCACAAAUCAGCACAAAUGUCUUCAUGUGACUCCAGCUUCAGAAGACACAAGAUUGAGAUGGAUUGAGUUCAUAUAUGAUGGCAACGUUCCUGCCACCACUUUGAAUCGGACUGUUUUAUCAACCUGGGCCAAUAUAACGCUGGAUUCUCUAAAAGGUUGUUAUUGAAAGAGGGGUCGGUGCCAUCUUUCCAUCGCAAUACUGAAGACGAGGGAAAUGCAAGCACAUCUGUUCACGGUGCUAGGCUACAUCACGUAGCAUGCCAGACGGACCCACCACAGAUGCGCACACAUGGAACGCAGCUUUCUAUGAAAACACUGCGACCUCACUACAAAAGUACAGGCACACAGAAAACUGUGCUGCACUGAUGUUGGUGUUGGGACCUCAGCUGUAAGAGACCUCGCUUGGAGGAGGGAGAGGACAAC